GAUGAACGCUGGCGGCGUGCUUAACACAUGCAAGUCGAACGGUGAAGGCGGAGCUUGCUCUGCUGGAUCAGUGGCGAACGGGUGAGUAACACGUGAGCAAUCUGCCCCUGACUCUGGGAUAAGCGCUGGAAACGGCGUCUAAUACUGGAUACGAGCUGCGAAGGCAUCUUCAGCAGCUGGAAAGAACUUCGGUCAGGGAUGAGCUCGCGGCCUAUCAGCUUGUUGGUGAGGUAACGGCUCGCCAAGGCGUCGACGGGUAGCCGGCCUGAGAGGGUGACCGGCCACACUGGGACUGAGACACGGCCCAGACUCCUACGGGAGGCAGCAGUGGGGAAUAUUGCACAAUGGGCGAAAGCCUGAUGCAGCAACGCCGCGUGAGGGACGACGGCCUUCGGGUUGUAAACCUCUUUUAGCAGGGAAGAAGCGAAAGUGACGGUACCUGCAGAAAAAGCGCCGGCUAACUACGUG
rnacentral:rRNA from 1 species